AAAGUUGAAGUGUGGUUGGUGAAAAGGAAAGAAGAGAGGAAUGACUUGUGGAGGAACCAUUGAUUUAAUAGGACGUUAUGUGAGAGUGAGGAUGGGAGUGUGGACGAUGAUGAUUUACUAGUGAUGACUCUUUCGGCCGUGUGAUGCGAGAAAGAAAUUCUCUUCGGUCGUGUGAUGCGGGAAGAUGAUGGUCUAAUAGUGGUAAAUCUUCGUCCGGGUGAUGCGGGAAAGAGAUUAUAUUUGGAUGUGUGAUACGAGAAGAGGAUGUCGUGUGACUCGUAGUGAAUUGGUUAUGGUGGUUAGGUGGUGUGGUAGUGUAGAGAAAAUAGACCAUUUAGUGCUAAUGUUAUUGUGAUGUUAAUGUUAUGAUGAUAUAUGUUUAUGAUUUGGUUAUUAUUGUGGUUAAUAUAAUUGUAUAUUGUAUGAUAAGAUAAUUCUAGUUGCUUACCCUGAAAGUUGUGGUUGUGGUUUCCACCUACGAUGAUCGUACUUGUACGAGAG
rnacentral:lncRNA from 1 species